rnacentral:rRNA from 1 species
UACGAAGGGGGCUAGCGUUGCUCGGAAUUACUGGGCGUAAAGCGUGCGCAGGCGGUGAGUUAAGUCUGAUGUGAAAGCCCCGGGCUCAACCUGGGAAUGGCAUUGGAAACUGGCUCGCUGGAGUGUGGCAGAGGGGGGUGGAAUUCCGCGUGUAGCAGUGAAAUGCGUAGAGAUGCGGAGGGACACCGAUGGCGAAGGCAGCCCCCUGGGCCAACACUGACGCUCAGGCACGAAAGCGUGGGGAGCAAACAGG